GCCACGAGACUAUGUGCCACUGCCAAACACACAGAGGAGGUUGCUAAUCAUGAAGACAAAACAGACAUCAAGCACAUAAAUUAUGUACAGUGACC
rnacentral:lncRNA from 1 species